AUGGUUUUUGGUUUGAAGAUGAUGGAAGGGCUGAAGAUAACUGUGGACUGGAGAAUCAGUUUCAAUGAACUAGAUUCAACUAGAAAUCGGUUAGAAAAAAUUGGCUCUGAAACUUCUGCUAACAUUAAGAACUGUUAUGUUGGCAAUAUGAAUCUGGGCAACAGCAAGUUGCUUCUUUUGUAUCCAGAUGAGCUGACUGAGGAAGAAAAAGGACUUAUGAACCUGUUUAGAACCUAUAGCACCGUGGGGCUUGAUGCAUUAUGA